AUUAAACGCUGGCGGCAUGCCUUACACAUGCAAGUCGAACGGCAGCACGGGGGCAACCCUGGUGGCGAGUGGCGGACGGGUGAGUAAAGCAUCGGAACGUAUCCUGGAGUGGGGGGAUAACGUAGCGAAAGUUACGCUAAUACCGCAUAUUCUGUGAGCAGGAAAGCAGGGGAUCGCAAGACCUUGCGCUCUGGGAGCGGCCGAUGUCGGAUUAGCUAGUUGGUGGGUAAAGGCCUACCAAGGCGACGAUCCGUAGCGGGUCUGAGAGGAUGAUCCGCCACACUGGGACUGAGACACGGCCCAGACUCCUACGGGAGGCAGCAGUGGGGAAUUUUGGACAAUGGGCCGAAGCCUGAUCCAGCCAUGCCGCGUGAGUGAGGAAGGCCUCGGUGUAAG
rnacentral:rRNA from 1 species